AUUGAACGCUGGCGGCAUGCCUUACACAUGCAAGUCGAACGGCAGCACGGGAGCAAUCCUGGUGGCGAGUGGCGAACGGGUGAGUAAUAUAUCGGAACGUGCCCAGUCGUGGGGGAUAACGUAGCGAAAGCUACGCUAAUACCGCAUACGAUCUAUGGAUGAAAGCGGGGGAUCGCAAGACCUCGCGCGACUGGAGCGGCCGAUAUCAGAUUAGGUAGUUGGUGAGGUAAAGGCUCACCAAGCCGACGAUCUGUAGCUGGUCUGAGAGGCCGACCAGCCACACUGGGACUGAGACACGGCCCAGACUCCUACGGGAGGCAGCAGUGGGGAAUUUUGGACAAUGGGCGCAAGCCUGAUCCAGCAAUGCCGCGUGCAGGAUGAAGGCCUUCGGGUUGUAAACUGCUUUUGUACGGAACGAAACGGCGAGCUCUAAUACAGUUUGCUAAUGACGGUACCGUAAGGAUAAGCACCGGCUAACUACGUGCCAGCCGCCGCGGUAA
rnacentral:rRNA from 1 species